GUAGAUUCACCACUACGUGUUGCUAUCACUGAUAAGUUUUAUUUUCAAGCUUUGUGUGACACGUUAUCACUUUACACUUGAUCCUUCCUUUCAUUUUACUUUCUGAAUCACUGCUUUGAAAAUUUAAAAUUAUUUGAGAAGCUGGCAUUAGCUUACCGAGUCUUUAAAAUCUUUGCAGCGCACGCGCGGUUCAGGACACUUGAUACUCGUAUCCAGGCCAACUCUUCAGACAAAGAACUGUUUCUUGCCUCUGACCGUAUGCCAGUGAGCCGCUGCUGACAAGCAAUUGUGCAAAUAAAUGCUUGAGAGCGCGUGAUGGAGUGGAGAGAGCCGGUGGAAUUUAUUGACCAGCACUUUGAAAAGACUAGAAGUGAAUGGAUGUCCUGUGAAAAGCCAGAGGACAGAUGGAAUGCAUACCUUUUUUGGGCUGCAUUAGGGUUCCUUUUCAUGGGCUUCGCUUUCGUUUUAUUAGUCUUCUACAGAAGGCUUCGUGAGAAAGCAAACAAAACGAAAUUGGAUCCGCUGCUCCCGAUGGAUGUUAUCGAGACGAUUGGCCGGACUUGCCGGUACAAGGUAUUACCGAAACUUUGGAAGCGGGACAUUUGGCAGAGUCUAUAAAGGCAAGAUUACUCGCCCCGGCAACUAUAAGGGCGCUAAGAUUGUCGCUGUCAAAAGAAUUGAGCUCGGUGCUGUGACCAACCAGGAAACCUGGGAAAAAAAAAUAGAUCGACUCAGGCAACUUCCCACGUUAGUGCACGACAAUAUUGUACCUUGUCAUCUAGUUCGCAUCACAAAAAACAUCGGCAAAACAACGGUGGAAAUAAUGAUGGAACUUUGUGAAAAAACUUGAAUUCCAGGUGAUCUCGCAUGCUGUCUGAAGAAAGCGACGCACAGCAGCACUGGGCACGAAACGUACCGGUACGACGAUGUGGAACGUUAUUGCAAAGAGAUAACAGCAGGAGUUGACCUUUUGCAUCAGCGGAAUAUAAUACACGGCGACCUGAAACCUGCAAACAUUUUAACGAAAGAUCUGCCUAACGGCAGAAAGAGGCUGCUAAUCGGUGAUCUGGAGGAUCUAGUUCACAUGCAAGAAAGUGUGACUUGCUCUGGAGACAUCACACAACUGCAUGGAACUUUUAGCUAUAUGUCCCCGGAAAUGCUGAAAAAGUUUAGUAUGAUUAGAACGGAGAGUCCAGGACGAAAGACAGAUGUAUGGUGCCUGGGAUGUAUAAUGCUAGAGAUUGCCGAACGCUGCUUAGGUAGCAAAACUGACAAAAAACUACUUCAAAAGAAUGGAGAACAAAUCACUGUGGACGACUCGGUUUCCAUGAGCCGAUAUACCAUCCUUAUUAUUGAUGGUUAUGUGCCAUUUGUCAGUGCUGACAUUCCGAGGAAGUUGGCGGCCUGUAUACAGCUGUGCUUAAAGCCAGCUCCAAACCAAAGGGUAACGGCCGGGAUGCUGUUAGAUAAGCUCUCACUUGCUGACAUCAUUCCUUAAAACACACCAACUUCAAACUCGGAACCCGGUCAGUUUGAAGGCGAUAACGCUUGCUCCAAUCACAAACUAAAUUCAAGUUCCUGAGUGUCUUUACCAAAGAAAUGGAAAAUCACUUUUAAGUGUUUCCUUUUGUGUUUCCUUUUGUGACAUUGCAGCCAUAUGAUUGUGUAUUCUCGUUGUAAUACAGGGGUGCUACGCCAAGUUCGGGCACUUGCAUAAAUUAAAUUCGAAAACAUUUGUGCGCGCCGUUUUAUUUUUUGUUUUGCACUUUUCCAGUAGAACGUUUUACUGGGAAUUCAAAAACGAUAAAAUUCGAAAUUUUAAAUGUGACCUCGAGCAGCGAACCGGCUAAUAUGGGGAUGAGGUAGCAGACACUUUCAGAGCGCUUAUACCUGCCCUUCUAGAAAAUUUCCCAAGAAAGUUUUUUUCAUAGACUUUUUUAUAAACUGUCGAGCGACCCAAAAGGUAUAUAAUUUGGGUCAGCAAAUAACACUGGCGGGAUCGGUGCUGGAGAUGACCUCGAAACAAGGUUCUUUUCUAUUCUUUAAGAACUUUGAAUGGCAAACAGCCUAAAAUUAUCAAUUUUGGACAAUAGCAUUAGCAGAAUUAUUAAACAAAUUUCAAACGGGAGGAAGUGUACCACGAUUCAUGGGUCGAGCCGAAUUUUUAUGCGGGUCUGCUCUAGUUUAAAUCCACCUGUAAUUCAGACCACGCCCCCAGUGCGACGUCUCGUAGUAAAAAAGAUGCGUAAGACAUACGGUGAUCACAUAAAAAUUGAGUAACUAUAAUUUUGUUGGUGGGUGACCUAUAGUAAUUUUUUAGA